CGGAGCGGCAGCUCAACGGUCAGCAGCAACUCCCGUCUCUCACUGUUUUUUUCACUAAUUUCAGAAGCGAAAAAAAAACAACUCUACGACACAGGAGAAGUUCCUGAUUUAAACAUUUCUGAAGGGAGCUGCUGACAGAGAUAUAGAAAACACAGAUUCUUCCAUGCUGAUGGCCGUGCACUAGAGUUGGAGCGUAUCUCCUGUCGAAACA